rnacentral:rRNA from 1 species
GAUGAACGCUGGCGGCGUGCCUAAUACAUGCAGGUCGAGCGAACAGACGAGGAGCUUGCUCCUUUGACGUUAGCGGCGGUCGGGUGAGUAACACGUGGGUAACCUACCUAUAAGACUGGGAUAACUUCGGGAAACCGGAGCUAAUACCGGAUAAUAUUUCGAACCGCAUGGUUCGAUAGUGAAAGAUGGCUUUGCUAUCACUUAUAGAUGGACCUGCGCCGUAUUAGCUAGUUGGUAAGGUAACGGCUUACCAAGGCAACGAUACGUAGCCGACCUGAGAGGGUGAUCGGCCACACUGGAACUGAGACACGGUCCAGACUCCUACGGGAGGCAGCAGUAGGGAAUCUUCCGCAAUGGGCGAAAGCCUGACGGAGCAACGCCGCGUGAGUGAUGAAGGUCUUCGGAUCGUAAAACUCUGUUAUUAGGGAAGAACAAACGUGUAAGUAACUGUGCACGUCUUGACGGUACCUAAUCAGAAAGCCACGGCUAACUACGUG